rnacentral:rRNA from 1 species
UACGAAGGGGGCUAGCGUUGUUCGGAUUUACUGGGCGUAAAGCGCGUGUAGGCGGCUCGGUAAGUCUGCUGUGAAAGUCCAGGGCUCAACCCUGGAAUGCCGGUGGAAACUGUCGGGCUAGAGUCCGGAAGAGGCGAGUGGAAUUCCUGGUGUAGCGGUGAAAUGCGCAGAUAUCAGGAGGAACACCAAUGGCGAAGGCAGCUCGCUGGGACGGUACUGACGCUGAGACGCGAAAGCGUGGGGAGCAAACAGG